GGUGAGUAACACGUGAGUAACCUGCCUUACACAAGGGGAUAGCCGUUGGAAACGACGAAUAAUACCCUAUGAAACUAUCACUUCGCAUGAAGCGAUAGUCAAAGUGUUAGCGGUGUAAGAUGGACUUGCGUCUGAUUAGCUAGUUGGUGAGAAAAAAGCCCACCAAGGCAACGAUCAGUAGCCGGCUUGAGAGAGUGUACGGCCACAUUGGGACUGAGACACGGCCCAG
rnacentral:rRNA from 1 species